UGGCCAGUUUCUCAAAACCCUAGGCCAGAGGCACCUGGCUAUAUUGCCAUGCCAGGAGCAAGAAAGAAAUUGACAGGAAAUGACAGGAAAAGAGAAGAGGGGGAAGCAUCCAAGGGCAAGAAAUUGAGCAAACAUGGCAUUCAGAUAACUUGUGGGUGUUGUGGGGCCAAGGGACACAACAAAGGUUCUUGCAAAAAUAAUCCAGAUAGAAACAAAAAAACAAAGGCAUUUCUUGCUAAGAGAGGGAAAAAACUUAGAGCAACAGAGGUAAUUUACUCCUGUACAACACUAUAUGCUCUGUUUUUGCAUUGA
rnacentral:rRNA from 1 species